CCUCCUUUUCUUGGAGGGGUUCGGGCGUGCGGUCCCGGUCCCCGUAAUGUAAAAAAUAAAAAAAAAAGAAGUCUCCAAUUCGCACAGGAACCCAAGGAUUGGACAGUC
rfam:Myotis lucifugus cont2.47534, whole genome shotgun sequence.